rnacentral:ncRNA from 2 species
UCUUAUUCCAAGGGGGGCCCCGCGAGGGGGCUGAGAUAUCGUCUUCCGGUCCGGCCGUAAUGGUCCCCGGCGCCACGAUGACCCUUCGAACCUGAUCCGGGUCAUGCCGGCGAAGGGAUCGGAAUCAGCCUGGCGC